rnacentral:rRNA from 1 species
AUUGAACGCUGGCGGCAGGCCUAACACAUGCAAGUCGAGCGGAUGAAGGGAGCUUGCUCCUGGAUUCAGCGGCGGACGGGUGAGUAAUGCCUAGGAAUCUGCCUGGUAGUGGGGGAUAACGUCCGGAAACGGGCGCUAAUACCGCAUACGUCCUGAGGGAGAAAGUGGGGGAUCUUCGGACCUCACGCUAUCAGACGAGCCUAGGUCGGAUUAGCUAGUUGGUGGGGUAAAGGCCUACCAAGGCGACGAUCCGUAACUGGUCUGAGAGGAUGAUCAGUCACACUGGAACUGAGACACGGUCCAGACUCCUACGGGAGGCAGCAGUGGGGAAUAUUGGACAAUGGGCGAAAGCCUGAUCCAGCCAUGCCGCGUGUGUAAAGAAGGUCUUCGGAUUGUAAAGCACUUUAAGUUGGGAGGAAGGGCAGUAAGUUAAUACCUUGCUGUUUUGACGUUACCAACAGAAUAAGCACCGGCUAACUUCGUG